UACGAAGGGGGCUAGCGUUGCUCGGAAUCACUGGGCGUAAAGGGUGCGUAGGCGGGUCUUUAAGUCAGGGGUGAAAUCCUGGAGCUCAACUCCAGAACUGCCUUUGAUACUGAAGAUCUUGAGUUCGGGAGAGGUGAGUGGAACUGCGAGUGUAGAGGUGAAAUUCGUAGAUAUUCGCAAGAACACCGGUGGCGAAGGCGGCGACCUGGUCCGAUACUGACGCUGAGGCGCGAAAGCGUGGGGAGCAACAGG
rnacentral:rRNA from 1 species